rnacentral:rRNA from 1 species
CCUACGGGGGGCAGCAGUGGGGAAUAUUGCACAAUGGGGGAAACCCUGAUGCAGCGACGUCGCGUGAGCGAAGAAGUAUUUCGGUAUGUAAAGCUCUAUUAGCAGGGAAGAAAAUGACGGUACCUGACUAAGAAGCUCCGGCUAAAUACGUGCCAGCAGCCGCGGUAAUACGUAUGGAGCAAGCGUUAUCCGGAUUUACUGGGGGUAAAGGGAGCGUAGGCGGCUCUGUAAGUCUGAUGUGAAAAUUUGGGGCUCAACCCCAAACGUGCAUUGGAAACUGCAGGGCUUGAGUGCCGAAGAGGCAGGCGGAAUUCCUGGUGUAGCGGUGAAAUGCGUAGAUAUUAGGAAGAACACCGAUGGCGAAGGCAGCCUGCUGGACGGUAACUGACGCUGAGGCUCGAAAGCGUGGGGAGCAAACAGGAUUAGAUACCCGUGUAGUC